rnacentral:rRNA from 1 species
AUUGAACGCUGGCGGCAUGCUUUACACAUGCAAGUCGAACGGCAGCGCGGGCUUCGGCCUGGCGGCGAGUGGCGAACGGGUGAGUAAUACAUCGGAACGUGCCCAGUAGUGGGGGAUAGCUCGGCGAAAGCCGGAUUAAUACCGCAUACGGCCUGAGGGUGAAAGCGGGGGAUCUUCGGACCUCGCGCUAUUGGGGCGGCCGAUGGCAGAUUAGCUAGUUGGUGGGGUAAAGGCCUACCAAGGCGACGAUCUGUAGCUGGUCUGAGAGGACGACCAGCCACACUGGGACUGAGACACGGCCCAGACUCCUACGGGAGGCAGCAGUGGGGAAUGUUGGACAAUGGGCGAAAGCCUGAUCCAGCAAUGCCGCGUGUGUGAUGAAGGCCUUCGGGUUGUAAAGCACUUUUGGCGGGAACGAAAAGGACUGUGCCAAUACCACGGUUCGAUGACGGUACCCGCAGAAUAAGCACCGGCUAACUACGUG